rnacentral:rRNA from 1 species
GACGAACGCUGGCGGCGUGCAUAACACAUGCAAGUCAAGGGGGUCGAGUAGCAAUACUGGCAACCGGCGAACGGGUGCGUAACACGUAAGCGACCUACCUCAAUGUGGGGCGAUAGCCGGCCUAACGGCCGGGUAAUUCCGCAUGUGAUCUUGGAGGGGCGAUCUCUCCGGGAUGAAACCAGUAAUGGGCGAUUGAGAGGGGCGUUGCGGCCUAUCAGCUUGUUGGUGAGGUAACGGCGUCACCAAGGCUACGACGGGUAGGCUGGUC